rnacentral:rRNA from 1 species
CAGCCGCCGCGGGAAUACGUAGGGUGCGAGCGUCAAUCGGAAUUACUGGGCGUAAAGCGUGCGCAGGCGGUUUUGUAAGACAGGCGUGAAAUCCCCGGGCUCAACCUGGGAAUGGCGCUUGUGACUGCAAAGCUAGAGUGCGGCAGAGGGGGAUGGAAUCCCGCGUGUAGCAGUGAAAUGCGUAGAUAUGCGGAGGAACACCGAUGGCGAAGGCAAUCCCCUGGGCCUGCACUGACGCUCAUGCACGAAAGCGUGGGGAGCAAACAGGAUUAGAUACCCCCGUAGCCCUGUCUCUUAUACC